rnacentral:rRNA from 1 species
GACGAACGCUGGCGGCGUGCUUAACACAUGCAAGUCGAACGGAAAGGCCCUGCUUUUGUGGUGUGCUCGAGUGGCGAACGGGUGAGUAACACGUGAGUAACCUGCUCUUGACUUUGGGAUAACUUCAGGAAACUGGGGCUAAUACCGGAUAGGAGCUCCCGCUGCAUGGUGGGGGUUGGAAAGUUUCGGCGGUUGGGGAUGGACUAGCGGCUUAUCAGCUUGUUGGUGGGGUAGUGGCUUACCAAGGCUUUGACGGGUAGCCGGCCUGAGAGGGUGACCGGCCACAUUGGGACUGAGGUACGGCCCAGACUCCUACGGGAGGCAGCAGUGGGGAAUAUUGCACAAUGGGCGGAAGCCUGAUGCAGCAACGCCGCGUGCGGGAUGACGGUCUUCGGGUUGUAAACCGCUGUCGCCUGUGACGAAGCGGGAGUGACGGUAAUGGGUAAAGAAGCACCGGCUAACUACGUG